UGCACACAUGACUGUAAGUCGCUUUGGAUAAAAGCAUUUGCUAAAUGGCAGAUA
rfam:Salmo salar isolate Sally breed double haploid chromosome ssa04, whole genome shotgun sequence.